UUCGUGAUGACCUUGGAAAAGACGCGGCGUCAAAUAGAGUGGUACAAACAAAGACCCGUGACUUUCUUCGAGCGAGCGGCGGGUGGAGAGGGGAACGAGCGGUGCGCGCAGACAGACAAGCAGGUGUUGCGUCGCUGAUGUCAAGUGGGGCAGCGGCGGUCGUGGCGGAAGUUCACUGCGAAGGGACAGAGACGGCGAUGGUGGACGCUCGCCCGGGGCCUAGCGGAUUCCGCGGUAGGCCCCGGAUGCUCGCCAAGCUUGAAACAAGCAUGCAGGGUACAGGUGCACUCACUUGAAGACGACCCUCCACCUUGGUGAUAAGCAGUGGUUGAAAUGAAAGGAAACUAUCGCAUCUGUAACCAGAGGGAUAUUAUUUUUUUUCCCUUUCAUUUACCUCCUUCCACAUUCAAGGAAGCAUUUAUGUGCCCAAUAAAUGUUUUUGCUAACUUU